GUUGUAUGGCAGGCACACAGCAUAUUUUGUACAUGCUGGUGUGUGACAGUGAAACUCACAUUCCCAGGACUGAUACUCCUUUAUUGCACGGAGUUGCCAUGGCUGUGCCUUGUGAUAUUGUUGAAAAGUAUUGCCCAGAUGAAAAAUGCAUACCACAAGCACGCUUCAAAGGUUGCCUCAUUAAGUGUGUGUGCAACAUCACUUGGACCCCAGAGUUGGCAGAGCUUCAACCCACCUACUCUUAUUCUCAAGAUAAACUCAAGAAAGCUGCUGUAAUCAUUCUGACUGGGCUAGUCCUAUGCUUCCUGCUGCUGAUUGUUGCAGUCAAAUGGAGAAGCCUAUUUAAAAA